GGCUGAAAUUCGCCUUCAUGAAGCUGGAAUUGCUGUAAUGGCAGGUCGGCAUACUGCCGUGAAUACGUUCCCGGGCCUUGUACACACCGCCCGUCACACCAUGAGAGUUGGCAAUACCCAACGUACGUGAUCUAACCCGCAAGGGAGGAAGCGUCCUAAGGUAGGGUCAGCGAUUGGGGUGAAGUCGUAACAAGGUACC
rnacentral:rRNA from 1 species